rnacentral:sRNA from 1 species
CGGGAUGGUGCUCCUCGAGUUGGAUUGAUUCGUGCCUUCGCAAGUCGAAUUAUCCCAGCUCAGAGCGCCAUCUCUUUACUUUGACACGCCGUGCUCAGUCACCGGCAUGAAAG